AGUGAACGCUGGCGGUAGGCCUAACACAUGCCAGUCGAACGGCAGCACAGUAAGAGCUUGCUCUUACGGGUGGCGAGUGGCGGACGGGUGAGGAAUAAAUCGGAAUCUACUUUUUCGUGGGGGAUAACGUAGGGAAACUUACGCUAAUACCGCAUACGACCUACGGGUGAAAGCAGGGGAUCUUUGGAUCUUGCGCGAUUGAAUGAGCUGAUGGCGGAUUAGUUAGUUGGCGGGGUAAAGGCCCGCCAAGGCGACGAUCCGUAGCUGGUCUGGGAGGAUGAUGAGCCACACUGGAACUGGGACACGGUCCAGACUCCUACGGGAGGCAGCAGUGGGGAAUGUUGGACGAUGGGCGCAAGCCUGAUCCAGCCAUACCGCGUGGGUGAAGAAGGUCUUCGGGUUGUAAAGCCCUUUUGUUGGGAAAGAAAAGCAGCAGGUGAAUACCCCGCUGUUCUGACGGUACCCAAAGAAUAAGCACCGGCUAACUUCGUG
rnacentral:rRNA from 1 species